rnacentral:siRNA from 1 species
UAUUAUUUCAUCGGGUAUCGU